AACGAACGCUGGCGGCAUGCCUAACACAUGCAAGUCGAACGAGACCUUCGGGUCUAGUGGCGCACGGGUGCGUAACGCGUGGGAACCUGCCCUUAGGUUCGGAAUAACUCCCCGAAAGGGGUGCUAAUACCGGAUAAUGUCUUCGGACCAAAGAUUUAUCGCCUUUGGAUGGGCCCGCGUUGGAUUAGCUAGUUGGUAGGGUAAAAGCCUACCAAGGCGACGAUCCAUAGCUGGUCUGAGAGGAUGAUCAGCCACACUGGGACUGAGACACGGCCCAGACUAAUACGGGAGGAAGAAGGGGGAAAUAGUGGAAAAGGGGCGAGAGUCGGAACAAGAAAUGCCGCGUGAGGGAUGAAGGACUGAGGGUGGUAAAGCUCUUUUAACCGGGAUGACAAUGACAGUAGCGGGAGAAUAAGCACCGGCUAACUCCG
rnacentral:rRNA from 1 species